ACAAAAAAAAAAAAAACUUGCACACUCUCUGAGAGCUCAACUGUGCACUUUUCUAUUUGCUGCUUUAUGGGAAAGUUGUCUCUCCCUCUCCUCAUCCCUCCCCUCUUUUUUUCCCCUGCCCGUCUCUGCGUCUGUCAUGUGCCUGGGAUGUGCUCAUGCUUUUGGCACAGAGCGGCCGUUGCGCGCCGCCUAAUGCGGGUUACAAAGUGGCAGCACCAGUUUUAAAGUCUCCCCCCCUCUUAAGCAACCAACAAACCGACCAACUACCCACCAACCCGGCAUGUUUAAACGCCUGGGAUUUUUAGUUACUCCCCCCGCCCCCCUCCCACCUCCAAGAGGAACAUUUACCUACACAUCAUACCACGAUACACACGGACGUCGUUGUUCUUCUGCUUCUGCAGCCUUGGACACUUUCUGAUUCCCUGGCAGUCAUCUGGCUGGACCGUGAGAAACAGUAAUGGAGAAAUGGAGCAACAGGCAGCUGCAGGACGCAGAAAGAGGAAGCAAUCACAGGAUCUCAGGAAUUUUGAUUGUCACUGGACCUGUAUGAGGUUGCUUGACCAUCAUGAGCCUUAAGUGACCAAACCCUCAACACUGAAGACAUAAAGAACAUGCAUGCAAUUUCUAAGGUGGAGAGUUAUUCAAAGGAAGAAGAGAGGAGGCUGAUGUUCCACAAGAGGAAGAUUUGAGAUUCACUGGACUCGUUUUGCAUCAAAAUAGCAGGACAUUGAUCCAGUUCAGCAUCACCGAACAAUCAAGCAAUGCUUUUGUUUGAGAGGAAAUUUUUACAAGCCAAAAGAUUCACGAAUAGGUGGAGUAGUGUAAUAGAACAACACCAGACCCAAAAGUAAUGACAUACAUGUGCUGCUAAAUGUUUGUAGCUAUAUCAUGAAAUAAAAGUUACAUUCACAAAAUGAUAGUCAUAGAGUGGUCAAAAAAUGUGAACAGUUUGGUGUGAGCACUGGGGCAAUUAGAAGAUGAUAUAGAGAUGUAAAGCCUCAACAAGAAUUCCCCUUAAAAACACGUUGAAAAAACAAUAUGGGCUAAAGAGGAGCAUGUUUAUCGGCCAAAAGAAAAACGGCGCAAAAUUUUCUGGACUGAUGAAAAUAACUUUUUUGUUGGAUCUAGAGCACACAGAAGGUUUGUCAGACGAACCCAAAAUACUGAAUUUAAGCCAAAGUACAUCAGUUUACAACACAUCCCUAAUUAUUAUGCAAAUUGGAUUUAAGAGUCAAAAAUGUAAUUUUUUGUUGUUCUAUUAAACUCAUAGAUAGUAUUGUGUCUCAGGGCUUUUUGAGUCACUGUAUAACUAAUCUCAGUCACCUGUGCUGAUUAGUUUGACAGGUGAGCUCAAAUAAAGGAAAACUACUUAAGAAAGAUUUUCCACAUUAAAACAGGCCCAGGUUUCAAGCAAUAUGGGAAAGAGCAAGGAUCUCUCUGGUGCCAAUAAAGCAUCAGAUAGUGUAGUGCCUUGAAAAAGGAAUAAAAACAUUAGAUAUUUCACAAAAACUGAAGCGUGAUCAUUGUACUGUGAAGAGAUUUGUGGCUGAUUCAGAGCACAGACGGAUUCGUGCAGAUAAAGGCAUGUUCAAGAAGGUUUCUGUUAGACAAAUUCAUUGAAUUAAGAGAACAGCUUGUUUGCUGCUUUGCUAUUACAAAGCAGCAAACAGCUAUUUGAAGCUGCUGGUGCCUCUUGAGUCCCACAAACCUCAAGGUGGAGGAUCCUCCAGAGGCUUGCUGUUAAACCUUCUAUUUGGUCACCUCUAGUCAGUGGUCAAAAGCAGAAAUGGUCGCAGUGGGCCCAGCCGUACAUGAAGAUUAAUUUUCAAACAGACUUGUUCACUGAUGACUGCUGUAUAACCCUGGA